rnacentral:rRNA from 1 species
UGGUGGGUAGUUUGACUGGGGCGGUCUCCUCCUAAAGAGUAACGGAGGAGCACGAAGGUUGGCUAAUCCUGGUCGGACAUCAGGAGGUUAGUGCAAUGGCAUAAGCCAGCUUGACUGCGAGCGUGACGGCGCGAGCAGGUGCGAAAGCAGGUCAUAGUGAUCCGGUGGUUCUGAAUGGAAGGGCCAUCGCUCAACGGAUAAAAGGUACUCCGGGGAUAACAGGCUGAUACCGCCCAAGAGUUCAUAUCGACGGCGGUGUUUGGCACCUCGAUGUCGGCUCAUCACAUCCUGGGGCUGAAGUAGGUCCCAAGGGUAUGGCUGUUCGCCAUUUAAAGUGGUACGCGAGCUGGGUUUAGAACGUCGUGAGACAGUUCGGUCCCUAUCUGCCGUGGGCGCUGGAGAACUGAGGGGGGCUGCUCCUAGUACGAGAGGACCGGAGUGGACGCAUCACUGGUGUUCGGGUUGUCAUGCCAAUGGCACUGCCCGGUAGCUAAAUGCGGAAGAGAUAAGUGCUGAAAGCAUCUAAGCACGAAACUUGCCCCGAGAUGAGUUCUCCCUGAGACUUUAGGUCUCCUGAAGGA